rnacentral:rRNA from 1 species
UACGUAGGGUGCAAGCGUUGUCCGGAAUUAUUGGGCGUAAAGAGCUCGUAGGCGGUUUGUUGCGUCGGCUGUGAAAUCCCGAGGCUCAACCUCGGGUCUGCAGUCGAUACGAGCAAACUAGAGUGUUGCAGGGGAGACUGGAAUUCCUGGUGUAGCGGUGAAAUGCGCAGAUAUCAGGAGGAACACCGAUGGCGAAGGCAGGUCUCUGGGCCAUUACUGACACUGAGAAGCGAAAGCAUGGGGAGCGAACAGG